rnacentral:rRNA from 1 species
AGAGUUUGAUCCUGGCUCAGGACGAACGCUGGCGGCGUGCCUAACACAUGCAAGUCGAACGGAGUUGAAAGGAGCUUGCUUUUUUCAACUCAGUGGCGGACGGGUGAGUAACGCGUGAGUAACCUGCCUUUCAGAGGGGGAUAACGUUCUGAAAAGAACGCUAAUACCGCAUAAGAUUGUAGUUUCGCAUGGAGCAGCAAUCAAAGGAGCAAUCCGCUGAAAGAUGGACUCGCGUCCGAUUAGAUAGUUGGCGGGGUAACGGCCCACCAAGUCGACGAUCGGUAGCCGGACUGAGAGGUUGAUCGGCCACAUUGGGACUGAGACACGGCCCAGACUCCUACGGGAGGCAGCAGUGAGGGAUAUUGGGCAAUGGGGGAAACCCUGACCCAGCAACGCCGCGUGAGGGAUGACGGUUUUCGGAUUGUAAACCUCUGUCCUCUGUGAAGAUAGUGACGGUAGCAGAGGAGGAAGCUCCGGCUAACUACGUGCCAGCAGCCGCGGUAAUACGUAGGGAGCAAGCGUUGUCCGGAUUUACUGGGUGUAAAGGGUGCGUAGGCGGAUUGGCAAGUCAGAAGUGAAAUCCAUGGGCUUAACCCAUGAACUGCUUUUGAAACUGUUAGUCUUGAGUGAAGUAGAGGUAGGCGGAAUUCCCGGUGUAGCGGUGAAAUGCGUAGAGAUCGGGAGGAACACCAGUGGCGAAGGCGGCCUACUGGGCUUUAACUGACGCUGAGGCACGAAAGUGUGGGUAGCAAACAGGAUUAGAUACCCUGGUAGUCCACACUGUAAACGAUGAUUACUAGGUGUGGGGGGUCUAACCCCCUCCGUGCCGGAGUUAACACAAUAAGUAAUCCACCUGGGGAGUACGACCGCAAGGUUGAAACUCAAAGGAAUUGACGGGGGCCCGCACAAGCAGUGGAGUAUGUGGUUUAAUUCGACGCAACGCGAAGAACCUUACCAAGUCUUGACAUCCCUUGACAGGCAUAGAAAUAUGUUUUCUCUUCGGAGCAAGGAGACAGGUGGUGCAUGGUUGUCGUCAGCUCGUGUCGUGAGAUGUUGGGUUAAGUCC